rnacentral:rRNA from 1 species
UGGGGAAUAUUGGACAAUGGGCGAAAGCCUGAUCCAGCCAUGCCGCGUGUGUGAAGAAGGUCUUCGGAUUGUAAAGCACUUUAAGUUGGGAGGAAGGGCAGUAAGCGAAUACCUUGCUGUUUUGACGUUACCGACAGAAUAAGCACCGGCUAACUCUGUGCCAGCAGCCGCGGUAAUACAGAGGGUGCAAGCGUUAAUCGGAAUUACUGGGCGUAAAGCGCGCGUAGGUGGUUCGUUAAGUUGAAUGUGAAAGCCCCGGGCUCAACCUGGGAACUGCAUCCAAAACUGGCGAGCUAGAGUAGGGCAGAGGGUGGUGGAAUUUCCUGUGUAGCGGUGAAAUGCGUAGAUAUAGGAAGGAACACCAGUGGCGAAGGCGACCACCUGGGCGCAUACUGACACUGAGGUGCGAAGGCGUGGGGAGCAAACAGG